CAAAGAGGGCGGGUGCUAAUACAUGCAAGUCGAGCGGAUCUUCAUUAGCUUGCUUUUGAAGAUCAGCGGCGGACGGGUGAGUAACACGUGGGCAACCUGCCUGUAAGACUGGGAUAACUUCGGGAAACCGGAGCUAAUACCGGAUAAUCCUUUCCCUCACAUGAGGGAAAGCUGAAAGACGGCUUCUCGCUGUCACUUACAGAUGGGCCCGCGGCGCAUUAGCUAGUUGGUGAGGUAACGGCUCACCAAGGCAACGAUGCGUAGCCGACCUGAGAGGGUGAUCGGCCACACUGGGACUGAGACACGGCCCAGACUCCUACGGGAGGCAGCAGUAGGGAAUCUUCCGCAAUGGACGAAAGUCUGACGGAGCAACGCCGCGUGAACGAUGAAGGCUUUCGGGUCGUAAAGUUCUGUUGUCAGGGAAGAACAAGUACCGGAGUAACUGCCGGUACCUUGACGGUACCUGACCAGAAAGCCACGGCUAACUACGUGCCAGCAGCCGCGGUAAUACGGAUGUGGCAAGCGUUGUCCGGAAUUAUUGGGGCGUAAAGCGCGCGCAGGCGGUUCCUUAAGUCUGAUGUGAAAGCCCCCGGCUCAACCCGGGGAGGGUCAUUGGAAACUGGGGGAACUUGAGUGCAGAAGAGGAGAGCGGAAUUCCACGUGUAGCGGUGAAAUGCGUAGAGAUGUGGGAGGGAACACCAGUGGCCGAAGCCGGCUCUCUGGUCUGUAACUGACCGCUGAGCGCGAAAGUCGUGGGGGAAGCGAACAGGACUUAGAUACCCUGGGUAGUCCCACGCCGUAAACGAUGAGUGGCUAAGUGUUAGAAGGGAUUUCCGCCCUUAUGCUGCAGCAAACGUCAUUAGGCACUCCGCCUGGGGGAGUACGGGCGGCAAGGUGAAACUCAAAUGAAUGACGGAACCCGCCACGAGCGCUGUAACCAUGUGGAUUUAUUCCGAAGCACCCGGACACUUAACAGGUCCUGGACAUCGUCUGACAUCUAAAAAUAGUCGUGCCUUCAGCGACAGGUCACUGUGGUCACGAGUCUGUCAUCCUGUGCAUCGA
rnacentral:rRNA from 1 species